rnacentral:sRNA from 1 species
UACGUUUCUGAAGGUGAUACACGCCAAA